rnacentral:rRNA from 1 species
CGGGACGGGUGAGUAAUGCUUGGGAAUCUAGCUUAUGGAGGGGGAUAACUACGGGAAACUGUAGCUAAUACCGCGUAAUAUCGAAAGAUUAAAGUGUGGGACCUUCGGGCCACAUGCCAUAGGAUGAGCCCAAGUGGGAUUAGGUAGUUGGUGAGGUAAGGGCUCACCAAGCCGACGAUCUCUAGCUGGUCUGAGAGGAUGACCAGCCACACUGGGACUGAGACACGGCCCAG